UUCCGGACCCGGUGUGUCCUAAAUUUACUGAAGAAAUGGUUGAAGACUAGAUCUACAUCUAGUUCUAGACAUAGAUCUCUAGAUCUACUGAUCUAGUAGUCUAGGUCUAGAUAUUAGAAUUAGAUCUAUUCUUAGAAUCUAAUCUAGAACUAUAUACAAGAUCUAGUGUGACUAGAGUAGAGCCCUAGAAUUAGAAAAGGAUAGAUAAUCAAGUAGAUCUAGAACAGUGAUUCCCAAAGUGGUCUAUAUAGAACCCCAGGGGUCUACGAUGACUUCCAGGGGGUCUACGAAAGUUAAAAAAGGAAUUGGGGGUCUACGAGAUGUAAAUGGGGGUCUACGAGAGUGGAUCUUGAUUUAAGAAGCCUCCAAGAAUGAAAUCAGCUCAGCCUUGAGUUGGACAACAUGCUUUAACACUUUUCCCCUGGAGAGCCAACAAACGUUGGUGUGAUACAGGAGACAUUAGUAGUCUGAAUCCAUUGCUUCACAAAGCUCUGAGGAAAGUCAGAAUGCAAGCGGUCGAGAUUUGAGGAAGUUUACAACUUCAAUCACUUGAUCCAGAACAGACAUCAAAUAUUUGAAGGCAAGAGCUUCUCUGUGGAUUAUGCAGUGAACAACUAAUACAUUUGGAUUUUCUUGACGCACAAGAGUGAAGAAUCCCUUUCUAUUUCCCUGCAUGGAAGGACAGCCAUCGGUGCAAACGCUGACACAGUUUGUCUCCACUGUACUUUGAAUAGCAAAAUGUUUUCGUUCACCACUUAAAAAUCUUCGCCUUUGGUCGUAGUUGGUGGCGAUUUUAUUGUUUACCAUGAAGUUGUCUAAUUUUCAAAUUUUACUGACCAAGUUUUGUACAGUGACUGAUCCAUCUGCAGUUUCCGAACCAGUAACUGAUAUCUCAAAAAAAUAUUGCUUUACUGAUGGUGUCUGGUCACCUCAGAUGAUCAACAUGAUUUGUUCAUUGAAAGACACUUGAAGGUGUAAGUUGUAAAAGGUUUUAAAAGACUUGCCAAAGCAAGGCAUUCUUGACAGGGAUAAACAUUGGGAGCAGCUCUAGCUGACUCAGCUCAGAGGAUGACAUCACAGUUAAUUGACAUCUUUCUGUUAACAAUGCAUGGAUUAUCUUAUCUUCUUCAUUCUAGGGGAAUUAUGCAUUGAGUGAAGACAUCUUGCUGUAGAAGAGAAGAACAAUUCAGAUAGUUCACAUGAUUGUUUUGAUUGGUUUUGAUUGUCUUAUGUUAAUGGCUGGUAAAGAACUGAAACAUGUAGGCUGGAGAUCACUUGAUAGAAAUCAAGAAAUCUCUGAUCUACAUUGUAUGAGAAAAUCAUGAAGUGGUUGUUGUCAUUGAUCCAGAAACUAAGUUGCAAUCUGUCUUGAUAAAUAUAUCAUACAGAUUUGAUAGUGGCCUAUUCAACCCGAGGCGGCUUAAAGCAAAAACAAAAACAAAUGCAGCAGUAAUCAGAGAUUUGCUAUUUGCUGACCACUGUGCCCUAAAUGCCUGCUCUGAAAACAAUCUGCAGAUCAUCGUCAGUGACUUCUCAAGAGCAUGCUCAGACUUUGGCCUUACCAUCAAUACGAACAAGACUGAAGUCUUAUAUCUACCUGCUCCUGGGAAAGCCUACUCGGAUCCAAGCAUUACUAUAAAUGGACAGGAUAUAAAUGCAGUGGACAAAUUCACAUAUCUUGGCAGCACACUCUCCAGAAAUGGAAAAAUCGAUAGUGAAAUCGACCUGCGUAUCGCCAAGGCCAGUGCAUCCUACAGCAGACUGUCUACAAAUGUCUGGAACAGACGUGGUAUCACCACAAACACCAAGCUAGGUGUCUAUAGAGCCGUCAUCCUCCCUACAUUGCUUUAUGCCCCAGAAACAUGGACAGUGUACAGUAAACAUGCAAAGAAACUAAACCACUUCCACAUGACAUGUCUGAGAAAAAUACUAAAUGUCAAAUGGCAAGACAAAAUACCAGAUACAGAAGUCCUUCGAAGAGCGUGUCUGCAAAGCAUCCACACAAUCCUGAUGCAGUCCCAGCUGCGAUGGGCAGGUCACAUCUACAGAAUGGAAGACCACCGCAUCCCUAAACGACUCCUGUAUGGCCAACUAAGCGAAGGAAAGCGCUCGCAAGGUGGUCAAAGAAAGCGCUUCAGGGACACCCUCAAAGCUUCUCUGAAGGUGUUCAGCAUAGACCCAGGCACCUGGGAGACAGAGGCACAUGACAGAGCAUCAUGGCGUCGCGCUGUGAAAACUGGCGCACAGGUUGCUGGGGAAAAAAGAACAAUGCUGGCAGAAGAAAAACGCCAGAAAAGAAAAGCAAGGCCCACGACACUAGCUCCAGCUGGAAUAACCUGCCCAGUGUGCGGCCGAACAUUUCGGGCUCACAUAGGUCUCACCAGCCACAUGAGGAGGCAUAAAACCCCAGUGCAAAGCCCUCAGCCCCCUGGAUGACAAAGUGGUCAUCAUCGAACCACGAUGGACGAACUAUAAGUUGCAAUCUGUCUUGAUGUUUAGUCACUUUGGGAGCAGUGAUCUUGAGAUUUCGAUGCUAGAUACUCUCAGAUUUGAAAGCCGGUAUCUUGGAUAUUUUCUUAGCUCCUCUAGAUCAAGAUGGCAAAGAACUUUAUAAGGAUAGGUCUCCCAUCCAUCACACAACAUUCAAGCACCAAUGGGUUUCUUUCAAGGAGUUGAAGAUAAGGUAGUUCCCCUUAACGAAGCUGAGAUGAGGCAGUUAAAGCAAAAGGACUGCAAUGUUUGUUUCUAGGACCAGACACAAGAGAAUUCGACAACAUAUGUAUCAGAAGAUCAAAAUCAGAAACUGAAAUCUGCCCAUUUGGAGUGUCACCAGAGAAUGCUGACCAUCUCCUCCAAAACUGCUCUCUUUACCAAGAGGCUGUACAUGACACUGGCCCCAAAACACCCCAAUAGAAAGAAAACUAUAUGGAGAGUUCCCUGAUUUGGAAACCACUGCGAAAAUAAUCUCAUAUACUGGUCCAGUCAUCUGAAUGCUCCAAUAAAAAAAUGAGAAGGAAGAAGAAAGAAGAUUGGAAGCAACAUGGCUAUCAAAAAGCAGAGACGAUACAAACCUCAUUAGAUGGAGAGUUUUAUUUUGUUGGUAAAGUCCUUGGUUUUGAGCCAGCAGAGAAACAUAGAAAGGGCCAUACACAUAUAUGUAAAAUACAUGCUAGAUCUAUGAGUGUAGAGAAAGAUAUUCGUUAUGAGCUGCUGGCUAGAUUAUGCCCAAACAGUACAGGAGCGGAAAUUCGUAGUGUUGGCACAGAAGCUGGAAUGUUUGCUAUCAGGGCUCAUAGGAAGAUGGCUACAGAGAAAGAUUUUCUGGGAGCAGUAAAUAAAGUCAUCAAAGCCUACGCCAAAUCUAGUGCAACUCCUUGCUACAUGACUUACAAUGAAAUCAAUAGUAGCUUGAUAGAAAUGGCUACUAGAGAAUCAGUACAGAACUUGUGUUUACUCACUGAUCUGAUUUUAAACUUAAGUGAAUCAUUGUUUGUAUUCAUGAUGUUUUAUUUCAACUUAUUAAAUCAUGGUAUCUUUCUUAUUAAA